rfam:Exiguobacterium sibiricum 255-15, complete genome.
GAUUCUGUAGCUCAGCUGGGAGAGCGCUACCUUGACAGGGUAGAGGUCGCUGGUUCGAGCCCAGUCAGAAUCA